CAAAUGAUUGGGGUGAAGUCGUAACAAGGUAGCCGUAUCGGAAGGUGCGGCUGGAUCACCUCCUUU
rnacentral:rRNA from 2 species